rnacentral:rRNA from 1 species
AGUGAACGCUGGCGGUAGGCCUAACACAUGCAAGUCGAACGGCAGCACAGUAAGAGCUUGCUCUUACGGGUGGCGAGUGGCGGACGGGUGAGGAAUACAGCGUAAUCUACUUUUUCGUGGGGGAUAACGUAGGGAAACUUACGCUAAUACCGCAUACGACCUACGGGUGAAAGCAGGGGAUCUUCGGACCUUGCGCGAUUGAAUGAGCCGAUGUCGGAUUAGCUAGUUGGCGGGGUAAAGGCCCACCAAGGCGACGAUCCGUAGCUGGUCUGAGAGGAUGAUCAGCCACACUGGAACUGAGACACGGUCCAGACUCCUACGGGAGGCAGCAGUGGGGAAUAUUGGACAAUGGGCGCAAGACUGAUCCAGCCAUACCGCGUCGGUGAAGAAGGCCUUCGGGUUGUAAAGCCCUUUUGUUGGGAAAGAAAAGCAGCAGGUUAAUAUCCCGCUGUUCUGACGGUACCCAAAGAAUAAGCACCGGCUAACUUCGUG